rnacentral:rRNA from 1 species
UAAAGAUAUAAUUAAUUUAUCGGGCAAUACAAGCAACAGCUUAAAACCUAAAAGAAAUGGCGGUAUUUCAUACACUCAGGGGAACCUGUUUCUUAAUUCGAUAGUCCACGCAAUCAAUUCCUAUUUUAGAAUUUUCAGCAUGUGUACUGCUGUCGUCAGUAAACCUAUAAAAGACAGUUUACAAAAAUGAAGCUCUCAUUUACGUCAAGUCAAAGUGCAGCCAAUAACUAGGAGUAUAAUGGGUUACACUCAUAAAAAUGAUAUGGAUAUAGACAAUAAAAAUCUUAUGAAAGUGGACUUGAUAGUAAUUUAUAUAUAAAAAAUAAAUAAACACCAAUCUGAAAUAUGCACACAUCGCCCGUCGCUCUUGUUUAUAAAACU